UGUGGUGGAAGAUGAGUAAUGAAGGUGGCCAUUACUGUUUGAAAAGAGUGAUGAAUUUGCUGUGAUGUUUGUGGCCAGGGUUAGAUUACGAAUAUAAAGCUAUGAACUUGGUGAAGGAAGAGCAAAACAGUCCUGAGUUUGGAAAGCUCAAUCCUCUUGGUUAUGUGCCGGUUGGUAGAUGAGAUGUUGUUCUUUCUGAUUCUUUUGCUAUUUUACUGUAUCUGGCAAAGAAGUAUCCUCAGCAUCCAUUGUUGCCUUCUGAUCUUAAGACAAAGCUA